rnacentral:lncRNA from 1 species
CCCAGAUCUGGUGGAAAGAGACGUGAGGAAGAUCUUGGGAUUUUACUUUGUGUCAGCCAAGAGGCUUUCCUUACCUCCUUGUCUUCAGUACUCUUGUGCACAAGCAUGCUUCUCAGAGAAGGUGGAUUCUACCUUGGAAGGAAAUGAGUCGUUUCCUCCCAUCAGGACAACUGCCACAGCAUGGUGUCAACUCACUCUUGCCUUUCGUAAAUUGAGUUUGUCAGUGCUCAGCGACACAGCUGAGUGAAAUGUUGUGUGAUGCGGGCUGUCUCCUGGGAGAGAGAAACUGGCAUAAACCACAUCCUAAUGGGAUCCAGAAACAAAGAAGCGUGAAUGAAGUGUUAAUUGCAUUCAUAAAGACAUUAACAAAGGAAUUAAAAUGGCAGAAGCUUCAG